GACGAACGCUGGCGGCGUGCCUAAUACAUGCAAGUCGAACGCCGUUGCGAACGGGUGAGUAACGUGUAGGUAACCGCCUCAUAGAGGGGGAUAACCAUCGGAAACGAUAGCUUAUAACGCCUUCUGUGAGAUGGACCUGCAUUGUAAUAGCUAGUUGGUGAGGUAAAGGCUCACCAAGGCGACGAUACAUAGCCGACCUGAGAGGGUGAUCGGCCAAACGGGGACUGGGACACGGGCCAGACGUCUACGGGAGGCAGCAGUAGGGGAUCGUCGGCAAUGGACGGAAGGCUGACCGAGCAACGCCGCGUGAGUGAAGAAGGUUUUCGGAUCGGAAAGCGCUGUUGUGAGAGAAGCGGUAACGAACCAGAAAGGGACGGCUAACUACGUGCCAGCAGCCGCGGUAAUAC
rnacentral:rRNA from 1 species